rnacentral:rRNA from 1 species
GAUGAACGCUGGCGGCGUGUCUAAGGCAUGCAAGUCGAACGAACCCGAUUUUCUUCGGAUUAGCGGGAAGUGGCAAACGGGAGAGUAACACCUUGGUAACCUACCUUCGAGACGGGGAUAGCCCAGAGAAAUUUGGAUUAACACCCGAUGGUCAUGGGGGGACAUAAGUCAUUCCUAUGUAAAAUUUAUUGCUCGAAGAGGGGCCUAGGUCCUAUCAGCUAGUUGGUGAGGUAAAAGCUCACCAAGGCUAUGACGGGUAGAGGGCGUGAGAGCGUGACCCUCUCACUGGGACUGAGACACUGCCCAGACUCCUACGGGUGGCAG